GCUGUAAAUCAUGAUUAAAAAUACAAUUCUGAAAGCAAUUCACAAC
rfam:Joostella marina DSM 19592 genomic scaffold Joomascaffold_1, whole genome shotgun sequence.